rnacentral:rRNA from 1 species
GUCCACGCCGUAAACGAUGGAUGCUAGCCGUCGGCAAGCUUGCUUGUCGGUGGCGCAGCUAACGCAUUAAGCAUCCCGCCUGGGAGUACGGCCGCAAGGUUAAACUCAAAGGAAUUGACGGGGCCCGCACAAGCGGUGGAGCAUGUGGUUUAAUUCGACGCAACGCGAAGAACCUUACCAAGCCUUGACAUGUCCGGACGGCCUUUGGAAACGAGGUCUCCCAGCAAUGGGUCGGAACACAGGUGCUGCAUGGCUGUCGU